rnacentral:lncRNA from 1 species
CAUCCACAGAUGCUGGCUCAGCAAAGGCUGUGUUCUUUUGAAUCCUCUUAGCUUGGAGAGAGCUAAGGUGGUUCACAUCUUACUGCACAUCAACCAAGCUCUGCUCUGAAGCCUGCAUCACUAAUUUUCUGUGGAUUAUUUUCCUGUAAUAUUCCAUUUUGACACUGCCAACUUGAAUUACCUACAGCGUGCUCUAUUUUAGAUGAACACUGAAAACAGAGCAGAUGCAGCAGUGCUGUUCAUCUCCUGUGACCUGAGACAGCAAGGCCAGACUACAUACUCCACUGUUCCGGGCCUUGAGGCUGUUGUGAGGCCAAGGCCCUCCCUCAACAUGGCUGCCACUCCCCAGUGCUGUGGACCGGCGGCAAGCAGCAGCGAGCCUCGGCUGGUGGCCGCGCUGAGAAAGCCUUUUCCCAUUGUUCCCAACAGGGUCUGUGUUUUAUGAAGCCUCACAGUAUAGCCAGUCGCCACCUCCCCCAAGGGCAAUGGCAGUUUUUGUUUCACGGAGAACAAUGAAUGAUGUUGGGCAGCCUAAAAACAAUUCUGCAUGUGGAAAAAACAACAACAACAAAAAUAACAGUGAGUGUGGCCAUUCAUAAUAAGCAUCUGUGAGGAAACAGCCUAUUGUGCCAGACUCUCUAUGGAGAAGCUGAGUGGUAGGUGGGUGGCAGCAUGCUUGUUUGCCACAGUGAAUGGGAGACCAGGAGUACCAUCCUUGGAGGAAAGAUGGAGAGGAAAAAUGGGCACGUGCUGAAGGAUGGCUCCAGGCACACACCAUUGGAGGCAAAAUACUAUUUUCCUGCUCAGAGGAGGAGGGACAAUGUCACUUCAACUCAGCAAUGGAGAAAUGGUGAACAGCUGAAGCAGGGGGCUCAGGGAAAAUGUGUGAGGAACUUGAACAGCCACUGCCACUAUCACAACGAGUACAGAAAAGCAAGGGACAUGGAAUAAGGCUGCUUGGUUGUGCUACCUUCCUCCCUCAGCAGUGGAGGUAACAAAACAUCUGGGAUUCAGUGUGCAGAAAGAAAGGAGUGCUAGGGUCUGUCUGUCUAUCUGUCUAUCUAUAUCCAU